UGUUUUCAAUUUAACAAUUAUGUUUCAGAGGACCCUUGACAUCAAUGAAAUGACUGGGCUUAAACGAGAACAUAACCGUAAUGUUCUCGGUCACAAUAAGCAUGUGUGCUUGAACUACUAUUGCAACAAUUGUUUGUCGUAACUUCAGUUUGUGCUGCAGAAUCUGCAUUUCAUUGUCACUUUUGUGUGUAUUUGAUUUAGUAUCUUUACCCAGGUGCUUGCUAGAGGAGAAGAUUAAUGGUCCAAAACGGUCAUUUCAUGAUUUACGAGCUUGCAGAGAGGGCAUUGGUUGAAUCCAUCAGUUCGAAGCUUAACUAAUAUAUUUCCUAGGGCUCGUGCAUGGCAGCGAGGAGCCUGGCAGGUGUUCAGGUCAACCUCGUCCGCAGCAGCAAAAGGGGUGUCGGUGGUGACAAGGGAGGUGACAGGCAACCAAUAGAGCAAUGACAUUGACCGCGAUUGGUCUCUAAUCCUUUGUUUAUUGCUCGAUUCACUUCGCUCCUGCAUUGAUCUAUCAUGUUUUCCCAGGUUUAUCAUUGUGGUUGCAGAGUGGAGCAGAGCAAUUGGGAAGUGGACAUGAGGAUUGAUGUGCAUAUCCAUUAGUACUUUCUCAAGUGAAAUAUCUAAAUUGUCAACAUGUUCAUGGUAGAGGGGAAGAUGCCGCCUGAAUCCUUUAAUUUGUAAGUACCCCCUGCUGCUUCUGUUUGAAUGUGCUUCAAAUUUGGAAGAUUCACAAAAUGUGGCCACCUUGCUCUAGCGCUUUAAGAUUGGAAGAUGCAAAAAGGUGAAGUAAUUUAUUCAGUUGUUCUACUAUUACAAUAUUGCAUAAGUGACGCAAGGUAAAUAAAUUUGUACACAUGGCAGGUCAUCUUUAUCUCAAUAUUCACACAGAGUCUGAACACCAAUCUUGUCCUUUGUUUUUUGUGGUAUGUAUAGUGGUUUGCUUCCUAUAUAUUUUGUUUGCAUCAUGCCUUGUAUAAUUGUUGUUUCCCUUUAGGUUUGUCCUUUCUAUUGUCUGCUUGCGGUGCCUAUGUCUAGUUUGUUUGUCUUGCCAGCUGUAUCUUAUGCUAGAUCAGCUUGUUUAUGACCAUGCAUUCUCACUUCUGUUAAUGAAAAAAGAUGGUAUUGCAAGCAUCAUUGUGUGCAAGAAAAGGUUCUGUGUGUUGUGAUUCAGUUCCUUAUCCUGCCAAUCUAUCUUCUCGGGGUCCUUAUUUUCUUCUGUGUUCAAGGUCUUGUUGCUGUUCUGCCGGCCCGCUGCCUCGUGUGCUGCCUUUCUUCCUGCCUUCCUUCUCUGACUUUCCAUUGUUUUGCUCAUUUUAUAUACGCCAUUUUACUCGCUCUACCUGUGUGUUCUGUGCGCCGUGUUCUGUUUUUGUUAUUAUUUUCUUCUCAUGCUUGCUCUCCUUCUAGCUUAUUUUGUGCCUGGAUUCUAGAAACGACCAAGGACAAGCAACUCAAGCGAAAGAUUGCUUCACUUAAUCCGGUGCUGUUAUUCUUCUGAAACAUGCUAAAGAAAGGUUGGUACUCUUGGGUAAAUCCAGCCUUUUUGAUUCAUUUGUCUAUUGUUCUUAUCAUACAGGGUGUAUCCCAAAAUUAAAAAAAUAUGCCUCUCGGAUCAAAAUGUCAGUACUUGAACAAAUGGUUUAAAAAUAUAGCCUCUAUGAAAAGUUCCCAAUGCUUGAGUGGCUGCAACGUGUAUGGUAGCAAGUAAGUACUGAUGGUGCAGAAUGUUUGCAACAUUGAGCAACUAGCUGGUUUUGGCUAUUUUUGCAACUGUAAUUAGGACUUGAUUACUGAUGUGUGCUGGUAUUAAUCUAUGUUGGUAUUUUUUCAUACGACCAACAUUAAUCUGUGUUGUGAUGUAUGCCAAUUCAUUGUCGACGGAGUGCCAUUUGCCGAAAAUAUUUGUAUCAUUGUACUCUAUUGCUUAGGCCUUUAAUCAAGUUACUGUGUUGUUGGUUACAUCCCUGAUGACAUCUCCAAGUACAUCCAUGGUUUCCCAAUGGUGUGAUUUAGCUAUUAUGCUAUUUUCACUUGUGUUUCCUCCUAUAACCAGAUUGAUAAAUUGUCGUAAACACAUUACACUCCUAAAAACACAUCUACUAGGCUUAUAUGCACAAUCUGUAUAGUAGUUAGCUUCAUCUUAAUUCAGUCUCAACGUUGGUAACAAUAUUUAAAAAUAGCACAAAUAGGCCUUCCAAUCACCAUGCCUGUUGGGCUCUCUUUCCUACUGAGUUAGAUGACAACCAUUACAAGGUAAAUUGGUCAUAUAAUUUCAUUCCACACAAUAUGUGAUAGGGCAUCUCCUCAGUUUAAACCAUUCUAUAUAUAAGUUCUUCUACUUGUUUUCUUGACUUACAACAUUCUCUUCAUAUAAUUUCAUUCCACAGAAUAUGUGAUAGGGCAUCUGCUCAGUUUAAACUAUUCUAUAUAUAAGCUCUUAUACUUGCUUUCUUGACCUGCAACAUUCUCUUCAUUCUCUUAACAUGAAACUCUCUCCGCAUAUGGUCUAUUGGACACUAUACUUUUCAUGUGAUUCGGUAUUACCUAUCAAAGUCAUGUAAUCACUAAUCAGUGUCGUGGCGCACAUCUACUAGCCUUUGAUUUUGAUCUGUCGCCCAUGCCAUGUAUUUUACAUGUUCAUCUAUUUGGGCAUUAGUGACACUGGUAGUUAGUAGCCGUGUUAAUCAAAAUCCUAGAAAAGUGUUACAUUAAAACUGGUACGUAAACUACCUUAUGCUAAUAUUAGUGCUACGCGAACUCCAGAACGGUUUAUUGAUGGUGAAUUUCGUGGUGCAUGACGGGUUGAACCUCCACGAUUUUGUGGCCAUACUAUGUUAUCUGCAAUGUUGUAGUUCAGAUGCCUUGAUUAAUACACAUGUGAAUGGGGGUGCUAAACCAGUCAUUCCCCUUUGAAAACCGAUGCUGCCCUGCAUACAUAUGUAUUUUGCUAGUCUCGAAUUGGAGACCGCUGAUAGUAUGCUAUUUGGUGCUGUGUUAUUUCAAAUGUUAAUAAAAUUCUAUAUUUUGCAUGAUUAGUUCAACCUAUUGUUUCUUGCAGAUGAGAGGGAUCGACAAAAAAGUUUGAGCCUCCUCUUAGAAGGUCGGUGACAAUCUUAAUGCUUUAGUAAAGAUUGUUUAGUGUUUAUGAUCAAGGCAACAUAAUGGUUUACUUAUUCUGUUCUCUUGGCAAUCACAGGUUCAAAACGGGACGCGGGCAAGAUAGCUCUAGGAAAGUUGGUGCGGAUGGCUCCGAAGUGGAGCCUAGAAGUGGCGAAUUUCUUAAUACUGCUACAUUAAUCACCUGUCAGUACCUUUCUAUUAAUAUACUUUGUUAAUACGUGCUACAUCUGUUGGAGAUAUGCCCUAUAGGUAAUCAUGUAUGAUGAUAUUUCCUA